AACGAACGCUGGCGGCGGGCUUAACACAUGCAAGUCGAACGCAUCCUUCGGGGUGAGUGGCAGACGGGUGAGUAACGCGUGGGAACGUGCCCUUCAGUUCGGGAUAACCCAGGGAAACUUGGGCUAAUACCGGAUACGUGCGAGAGCAGAAAGAUUUAUCGCUGAAGGAUCGGCCCGCGUCUGAUUAGCUAGUUGGUGGGGUAAUGACCCACCAAGGCGACGAUCAGUAGCUGGUCUGAGAGGAUGAUCAGCCACAUUGGGACUGAGACACGGCCCAAACUCCUACGGGAGGCAGCAGUGGGGAAUAUUGGACAAUGGGCGCAAGCCUGAUCCAGCCAUGCCGCGUGAGUGAUGAAGGCCUUAGGGUUGUAAAGCUCUUUCGUCCGGGACGAUAAUGACGGUACCGGAAGAAGAAGCCCCGGCUAACUUCGUGCCAGCCGCCGCCGUAAGAC
rnacentral:rRNA from 1 species